rnacentral:rRNA from 1 species
AACUGCACAAUGUGGGAAACCACGAUGCGGGAAGCCCAAGUGCCAGCACUAUGUGUUGGCUGUCCUCAAGUGUUCGUAACUUGGGAAGAAAGUGCUGGGUAAGACGGGUGCCAGCCGCCGCGGUAAUACCCGCAGCACAAGUGGCGGUCAUUAUUAUUGGGCCUAAAGCGUCCGUAGCUGGCGUGUUAGAUGCCUGGGUAAAUCGAUGCGCUCAACGUAUCGAAUUCCGGGUAGACCGGCACGCUCGAGACCGGGAGAGGCGUAGGGUACUCGGGGGGUAGGGGUAAAAUCCUGUAAUCCUCCGGGGACGACCAGUGGCGAAGGCGCUACGCUAGAACGGCUCUGACAGUGAGGGACGAAGCCCCGGGGCGCAAACCGGAUUAGAUACCCGGGUAGUCCAGGGUGUAAACGCUGCCGACUUGGUGUCGGGGAUCCUACGAGGGUUCCCGGUGCCGGAGAGAAGUCGUUGAGUCGGCCGCCUGGGGAGUACGGUCGCAAGACUGAAACUUAA